ACGUACGCUGGCGGCACGCCUAACACAUGCAAGUCGAACGAAGUAGCAAUACUUAGUGGCAGACGGGUGAGUAACAUGUAGGUAUCUGCCCUUUGGCCUGGAAUAACACGAGGAAACUUGUGCUAAUACCGGAUAAGUCUUUACGGAGAAAGCUUUAUGCACCAUUGGAUGAGCCUGCACUUGAUUAGUUUGUUGGUGGGGUAAUGGCCUACCAAGACUGUGAUCAGUAGCUGAUUUGAGAGGAUGAUCAGCCACAUUGGGACUGAGACACGGCCCAAACUCCUACGGGAGGCAGCAGUGGGGAAUCUUGCACAAUGGAGGAAACUCUGAUGCAGCGAUGCCGCGUGAGUGAAGAAGGCCCUUGGGUUGUAAAGCUCUUUCGUCGGGGAAGAAAAUGACUGCACCCGAAUAAGAAGGUCCGGCUAACUUCGUGCCAGCAGCCGCGGUAAUACGAAGGGACCUAGCGUAGUUCGGAAUUACUGGGCUUAAAGAGUUCGUAGGUGGUUGAAAAAGUUGGUGGUGAAAUCCCAGAGCUUAACUCUGGAACUGCCAUCAAAACUUUUCAGCUAGAGUAUGAUAGAGGAAAGCAGAAUUUCUAGUGUAGAGGUGAAAUUCGUAGAUAUUAGAAAGAAUACCAAUUGCGAAGGCAGCUUUCUGGAUCAUUACUGACACUGAGGAACGAAAGCAUGGGUAGCGAAGAGGAUUAGAUACCCUCGUAGUCCAUGCCGUAAACGAUGUGUGUUAGACGUUGGAAAUUUAUUUUCAGUGUCGCAGCGAAAGCGAUAAACACACCGCCUGGGGAGUACGACCGCAAGGUUAAAACUCAAAUGAAUUGACGGGGACCCGCACAAGUAGUGGAGCAUGUGGUUUAAUUCGAAGAUACGCGCAGAACCUUACCAACACUUGACAUGUUCGUCGCGACUUUAAGAGAUUAAAGUUUUCGGUUCGGCCGGACGAAACACAGGUGCUGCAUGGCUGUCGUCAGCUCGUGUCGUGAGAUGUUGGGUUAAGUCCCGCAACGAGCGCAACCCUCACUUUUAGUUGCCAUCAUUUAGUUGGGCACUCUGAAAGAACUGCCAGUGAUAAGCUGGAGGAAGGUGGGGAUGACGUCAAGUCCUCAUGGCCCUUACGUGUUGGGCUACACACGUGCUACAAUGGUAUCUACAACAGGAAGCAAGGCGGCGACGUCAAGCAAAUCCUUAAAAGAUACCUCAGUUCGGAUUGCACUCUGCAACUCGAGUGCAUGAAGCUGGAAUUACUAGUAAUCGUGGAUCAGCGUGCCACGGUGAAUGCGUUCCCGGGUCUUGCACUCACCGCCCGUCAAG
rnacentral:rRNA from 1 species